rnacentral:rRNA from 1 species
UGAACGCGAAGAACCUUACCAAGUCUUGACAUCCUCUUGACCGGCGUGUAACGGCGCCUUCCCUUCGGGGCAAGAGAGACAGGUGGUGCAUGGUUGUCGUCAGCUCGUGUCGUGAGAUGUUGGGUUAAGUCCCGCAACGAGCGCAACCCUUAUCCUUAGUAGCCAGCACGUGGUGGUGGGCACUCUGAGGAGACUGCCAGGGAUAACCUGGAGGAAGGCGGGGAUGACGUCAAAUCAUCAUGCCCCUUAUGAUUUGGGCUACACACGUGCUACAAUGGCGUAAACAAAGGGAAGCGAACCCGCGAGGGUGGGCAAAUCUCAAAAAUAACGUCCCAGUUCGGACUGCAGUCUGCAACUCGACUGCACGAAGCUGGAAUCGCUAGUAAUCGCGGAUCAGAAUGCCGCGGUGAAUACGUUCCCGGGUCUUGUUCACCCG